ACAGCACGUGCUGGAGCUAACGCCCCGCCCUCCACCCUAGGGGCGGGGACUGUUACGUCGCUUCCUCAGAUUUGGUACACGCAACGUGCGUCAGCACGACUUGGAGGGGGCGUGUCCAAAGAAUGGGGCGGACCUCAUGAAUUAUUCAUAAUUUGGUCGCCUUCCUCCCCAUUACCCCCCCUACUUAGAAAGGCUUCCGAGGGAACGGAGGGUGAACCUAAAAGUAGAGGAAGGGAAGGAGAGGAGCGUACAGACAGUUUUCCUACGAACUGUUCUCAGUAAAAUACAAUAAGUCAUUGUAACUCACCCCCCAGGGAAAUAGUCUCUGCUGAACUGAAAAAAAAAAAGGCACUAAAACAGCCGAUCUUGUCCAACUUCCUCUUCCCCCGAAAUGGCCGAGUCGUUCUCUCGCUCCUCCGCCUUACCCCAUUCGCGAUCACCUGGGGACACCACGCCCUCCUCUCCGACUCCACACCCACAACCCUAGCACCAACACCUCCUCCCACCACCCGACGCCUGCGCGCGAGCCCCCAGCCCGCGGACUGCGACCCGACGCCCACCACAGCCACCAAUAGCAGUACAUUCACUACCACCACCGCCACCUCGCACGCAGGCCUUCCCAAACACACGCUGGCUUCACGCAGCCUUAUAUAAAAACGAGUGUGGGCGGGGAAGAGGGUUCGGCCUUGGGCCCCCUGCCUCGGCCAAUGGGGAAGAAGCUAUUCGGCGCCCUUUCCACAGGGUGCUAAGGUGGCCCGUUCUCCCUGCCAACAGAGCUUGGGGAGUGGGUCCUGUGGCAGAGAAGAAGGCGGGAGAGGCGAGAGUGGCGUUGCGGAUAGUCUCAACUAAAAUAUCAAGACAGGGCGUGAAGGAAACUAAAAGGAAGAAUAGGAAUCAGGAAACGAAAAGGAGAAGGAAAAGGCAGUCUGGGGUAGAAAGAAAAGUUAGUAAAAGAAAGAUGUGCUUCAUGAACGAUCAGGCGCUGCUCCUGCCGCCUAAAAAAGUGAGGCCACUAAGGGUUAUGGGAUUUGUAGUUUUACGGGGCAUUCGAGUGGACUAUGGCGGAAGUAACAGUUGCGCAAACGCAGAAGCAGCUUCAACUGCGCAUGCGUUUCAGUCCUGGACGCAUACCGCUGGGGUGGCAGCGAAGCUAGUGCGAGUCCUCACGCCUUUUCUUGGUGGCGGGAAAACUGGGUCGCGGUUGGAGGGGUUUGCAGAAUUGCUGCAGUGGCUCAUUCUGCUCCUUGCCUUUAGGUUCUCCUUGUUCCAGAAGAAAAUUCAUCUGAAACAGAGGAGCAGAGACUUGAGUUGUCAGAGUGACUUCUUGGCUUUCCCUUCUCUAUUGAUCAGAGGCACAAAGAAAGUGUAG
rnacentral:lncRNA from 1 species